rnacentral:rRNA from 1 species
AGAGUUUGAUCCUGGCUCAGAUUGAACGCUGGCGGCAUGCUUUACACAUGCAAGUCGAACGGCAGCACGGGGGCAACCCUGGUGGCGAGUGGCGAACGGGUGAGUAAUAUAUCGGAACAUAUCCGGAAGUGGGGGAUAACGUACCGAAAGGUACGCUAAUACCGCAUAUGCCCUGAGGGGGAAAGGGGGGGAUCGCAAGACCUCUCGCUUUCGGAGUGGCCGAUAUCGGAUUAGCUAGUUGGUGAGGUAAAGGCUCACCAAGGCGACGAUCCGUAGCUGGUCUGAGAGGACGACCAGCCACACUGGAACUGAGGCACGGUCCAGACUCCUACGGGAGGCAGCAGUGGGGAAUUUUGGACAAUGGGCGAAAGCCUGAUCCAGCCAUGCCGCGUGAGUGAAGAAGGCCUUCGGG